UUGGGGUGGUGGAUGGGCCAAUAAAAGAUAAAUAAAAAAGAAACACACAGCAAUAUUUACAAACACCAAAGGAUUAAAAACAAUAAGGGGAAAAAAGAAGAAGAAAAACCUCCAUUCUGAAUUAAGGCAAAUCUAACGUUAGUCGUUUAAUAUUUUCAGCCCGGCCAAGAGAGGAAAAACACUGGCUCAUGUUGUUCCAGCUGGGUUCUGUAAGGGGGCAGUGCACGGAGAUAUUGGCCAGCCAGACGUGGAUGUGUCUUGUGAAAUAUUCCACCCAAAGGGCAUUGAUGUUGUCUAGGACAUGCCCCCCCUCGACCCAUAAAGAGCCCUGAAGUCCACAUCUCUGUUCCAGAAGUUCCCAUCAUCAUCAUCCCCUACUGCCCCACAGCACCCCUCCUGUUCUGGAGGAAACCCAACCACAACCGUUUGACCCCAGUGUCCUGGUCGACCCUAUCCCCACCCAACCCCAUCUCCGUUACAUUUUCAUCCUCCAGCAUGUCUCAGGAGACUCCAGUCUUUAAAGUCUCUCCAGACUCUCCAGGAGUUCCAGACUCGUCCUCAGAGGAGCUUGGCGACGCUGUAGCUCGGCCGCCCAUCAACUUCCUCAGUGGCCACAUGGGUGGAAUGUUAUUAAUAUUUU